rnacentral:rRNA from 1 species
UACAGAGGGGGCGAGCGUUGUUCGGAAUUACUGGGCGUAAAGGGCGCGUAGGCGGCCCGCUAAGUCGAACGUGAAAUCCCCAGGCUCAACCUGGGAACUGCGUCCGAUACUGGCAGGCUUGAAUCCGGGAGAGGGAUGUGGAAUUCCAGGUGUAGCGGUGAAAUGCGUAGAUAUCUGGAGGAACACCGGUGGCGAAGGCGGCAUCCUGGACCGACACUGACGCUGAG